GCCCCGCCGCGGGGACACCUCCAUCACCUCCACCCUGUUGUCCCCUGGGUCAUGCUCCUCAUUCUCCUCCAGCUGGGAUUCCUCAUGGUGCAGGUCCAGCUGUGGGGCACUGGCAGUAGUACUCUGGGGACAACAGUGAGGUCAAGCAGUGUGAGCAGCAGUGGGUCGGUCACCUGGGAUGCUUCGGGCAGGUCGUCACAGUGGGCAGCGCCAGCACAGGUGCGCAAGGCUUCCAGGCGGCGGUGCAGCUCAGCCAGCCGCUUGUUGGACAGCGUAAAAGCAACGUUCCUCAGCUGCCUGAAACUGUGCCAAUAAGGACUGAUGCUUUUUUUGUUGACUCCUACAACAAACUGACAAAUAUUAGGUUACAAGGAGAAACAUUCCCCUUUUGGUGCCAUUUACAAGAAACGGCACCAAAUAUAUUCAUUGGAUGCCUGCUACAAGAAUUAUUCUGUUUUUUUUGUCACUUGUCAUAAACUGUCCAGAUGUUUUUGUGUUCUAAUCCAACAAGUGUGCUGCUAACACACACUGCCACUUUUAUGAUGAGAAAAAUUAAUGUGCAGUAUGAUGCAAUAUGGUACUGUAUUUCAUUAUUUAUGAGAAAGACAGAGAGCAGUGAAUAGACAAAAUAAAGCAAACUUCAUGUGUGAGGUGUGGUGACUCACUUCCUGUUGCACCAGCACUGUUCCUGCGCUGAGGUCUCAUUCUCCAGGGUGAUGGCAGUCUGGCGCCGGCCAGUGGCAGCAUGGACAGGGAAUACCUCAAACCUGUUGGUGCUGAGGGGGAGGUGGCCAGCACUGCCCCACCCGCCCCCAACCUCGUCCUCCACCCCUGCCUGUGUCUCCUUGGACUCCUCCUCCUCACCCUGGCUCUCCUGACUACUGCCUACAAAUAGAUAGAUGUAGACUUAAUACCUGUCCAUUUUUGUGUAAGAGGACAGUGAGUGGGCCUAGGUCAACAAAAAAUUAGCCCUUUCACUACUGCUAUUUGGUACAUCUUUACUUGUUCUACACCCACCUCCAAUCAUUAAAUUGGAGAAAUUGCAAAA